GGUAGGAGCUGGCUUGCCUGCGGUAGCGGUCAAUCAGGCAACUGAAUUUUUUGCCCUGACACCGCCAUCGCAGGCAAGCCAGCUCCCACC
rnacentral:antisense_RNA from 1 species